ensembl:snoRNA
UGUCCUAUCUCUUUUUUAUUUUUUAAAUGUAUCUUUCUUAUGGGAUAGAGUAACAUUGCCAUGAUCUGAAGGAGGAGGAUUUGUUUGUGUCCUCCUUCUAUAUGAAAUUGCUAAACAACAACAA